GAGAAUUAAUUUACGGAUUAAGGAAACCGGCGCACGGGUGCGUAACGCGUAUGCAACUUGCCCUUAUCAGGAGGAUAGCCCGGUUUAACUCGAUUAAUACUCCAUAAGAUUUUGAUUGGCAUCGAUUUUAUUGAAAGAUUUAUUGGAUAAGGAUAGGCAUGCGUCAGAUUAGUUAGUUGGUAGUGUAACGGACUACAAAGGCGAUGAUCUGUAGGGGUCCUGAGAGGGAGAACCCCCACACUGGUACUGAGACACGGACCCGGCUCCUACGGGAGGCAGCAGUGAGGAAUAUUGGACAAUGGAGGGAACUCUGAUCCAGCCAUCCUGCGUGCAGGAAGACGGCCCUUUGGGUUGUAAACUCUUUUGUAUGGGGAUUAAUCUACUUACGUGUAGGUAGUUGAAGGUACCAUACGAAUAAGCAUCGGCUUACUCCGUGCCAGCAGCCGCGGUNAUUCGGAGAAUGCAAGCGUUAUCCGGAUUCAUUGGGUUUAAAGGGUCCGUAGGCGGGCUGAUAAGUCAGUGGUGAAAUUUUGUCGCUCAACGAUAAAACUGCCAUUUAUACUGUUAGUCUUGAGUGAUAUUGAAGUAGCUGGAAUGUGUAGUGUAGCGGUGAAAUGCAUAGAUAUUACACAGAACACCGAUUGCGAAGGCAGGUUACUAAGUAUUUACUGACGCUGAAGGACAAAAGCGUGGAGCGAACAGGAUUAGAUACCCUUGUAGUCCACGCNGUAAACGAUGCUACUGGUUUUCGGGGUUUUAUCUUCGGAGAC
rnacentral:rRNA from 1 species